rnacentral:rRNA from 1 species
UGGGUGAUCUGCCCUGCACUUUGGGAUAAGCCUGGGAAACUGGGUCUAAUACCGAAUACACCCUGCUGGUCGCAUGGCCUGGUGGGGAAAGCUUUUGCGGUGUGGGAUGGGCCCGCGGCCUAUCAGCUUGUUGGUGAGGUUACGGCUCACCAAGGCGACGACGGGUANCCGGCUGAGAGGGUGACCGGCCACACUGGGACUGAGAUACGGCCCAGACUCCUACGGGAGGCA